UAGGGAAUCUUCCACAAUGGACGCAAGUCUGAUGGAGCAACGCCGCGUGAGUGAAGAAGGUUUUCGGAUCGUAAAGCUCUGUUGUUGGUGAAGAAGGAUAGAGGCAGUAACUGGUCUUUAUUUGACGGUAAUCAACCAGAAAGUCACGGCUAACUACGUGCCG
rnacentral:rRNA from 1 species